ACCAUUCUACUUGAUGUCUCUAUGAAUCUGACUACUCUAGGUACCUCAGAUGAGUGGAAUUAUGCAGUAUUUGUCCUUUCGUGUGUACAACUAAUUUGACAGGCAGUAUGAUAAGGAACAAUCUGAAUGACACGUAAACAGGAGGGGGUAAAUUCCAAGCACAGCCUGAAUGAGAAGUAUAACUCAUUUCCCGUAACCUAGAUGCCUUUUUAACACAUCUAUGCAGUCUCCAUGUGAAACCAGGUGCUGUUCCCAAAGGAGAAAACACUGCCCUCCAGUGGUCUUCAAUGAAGAAAUGGAAAUAGUUUCAGGUGGAAACCAGGCUUCUUGGAAGAAUUCAAACUAUGCCAAAUGGUCUGAUUUCACCAUAGAGAAUGUUAUACUAUUAAUUGCCAAUUUGCAUAUGUGUGCAGCUGCUGUUUUGGCUCUGAACUCAAUCCGAUAAGCUUGCUGGAGGUAUCGCAGAGCACUUGGCAGCUUUCCUAUUUGAAAAGAAAGCCUCUCCCCUCUACAGAACAGCUGAUCGUCUAUCAGCGAUAGACCCUGAUGGCGUGAAUUACAAUUACACUACUUUUCACACUAAAUCUGGGUGAUAGCUACUUGGAAAGAAGUUUCAUCAUUUUUUACCACAAACUGGAAAAAGAAUUACAUGGUCAUGCUGUGCUUUUAAAGGCAGUUUGGUUCACUUUUGUCUAUUUAACACCUAAUUCCAAGAAGUCCAUAGGCAUCUAGAGAUCUGAAUGGCGCGUAAUGAAUUCACUGUUUAGAUUGAAGAUUUUAAAAAUCUACCUCAAAUUACAUUUAUUAACAGGGCGACCAGGAAGUGUUAAAGUUGUUAGACGCUUCAUUUAUUAAAUAAUUUGUGGGUAUUUUCAGUUGUCAUAUCUAGAGUCAUGGGGUUUGCUUAUUUUUUUUAAUUAGCAAUCCAAAACAAUGCUACUGCAAUUUAACAAUUCAGCACAUAAUCUUGGGCUCUUCAGUUCAGCUGCUAAUGUUAGAUAAUUCAGAUUGUUAUUUUGAUCUGUUUAUAAAUGAUUUUGGUUGCAUUGUGCUGUGAGGAGAACUGCAGCAGCCCAGGCAGAUGAUCUUUCUCUUAUUUCCUGCAUUGCUCAGGAUGGUUGAGGGGCCUUCCAAAAAAUGCAUUUGAGGAGUUAAGUUUAGCAUCUAGCAAAAGCAAACAAGUGAUGGGGCAGGGGGCACUAAUAAUAACUUGAUUUAUUAUCAUCACUUAUUUACGUCAUUAUCAAUUUACAUUUCCUGUCUGUUCGGAAAACUGAGGAAGGGCCUCUUUGCCAAACUACAUUUUGUUAGAAUCCUCCAUUUCUCUGAUUUUCUGGGACGUUAGAAAGUAUCGUCUUUCCUCUUCUUGAAAGAAUCGGCCAACCAUCAGAAAAUUUAAGAAGCUCCUAAACAUCCCUUUUCUUUUCUCUUUCUUUCCUCAGCCCUCUUCCCCUCCCAUCUUGACAUUUAAAUCAAUUUGUUGGGGGCGGGGGGGAAGAACAAGAGUUAAACCCACCUCAGGCAGCAGAAGUGGAACACAUUAAUCCUGACGUAGUUAACCUAAGAGAAAAAUAGAUUUUGUUUUCCUUUUUUAGUCGCUAGCUUUAUUAGAUUUCUCACUCUCACAGAUUAUCCGAAGACUACCCAUUGAUUGAUCGCCCGUAGAGCUGCAUUUGGUGUAAAGAAAAAACUCACAGCUUUAUUGGCUCUCAGGAGACAAAACAAACAGAACAAGAUAUUCAUAUUAAUGCAAACAAUGCAACAAAUGAGGGGAAGAAUCGCCCGGCUGAAGCGAGGCCCGGCGCGGCCGCGGCCGGGGGGCUGAGAAGAGCCUGGGUGCCUGUCGCUCGGGAGCCGAAGUUUCCUGGCCUCCUCCGACCCCGGGCGCCGAGAGCAGUCGGUCCCCCCGGCCUCCCGCCGGCAAAGGGGCCCUGGGGCCCAGGCGCGCGGCCCCUGAGCGGCGGCAGGCGGCCCAGGCCAGGGCCGGCGCCUGGAGGAGGCCUCCAGUCCAGGCCUCAUGGAAGGGCCUGCCUCGCGCGGCCCCGCAACGCCUCGCAGUGUGGCACUGGAAGGGACCUAAAAACCCACCUGGCUUUCUCCUUUCCCCUUCCCCACGCUUCCCAGGGCCCAAUGCCCGCAUCUCAGUUUCCCUUUCCGGCAGGGUCAGGGGUGAGAGGGAGGAAUUCUCAGGUGUCACCUCCUCACCCGCCUGGAGGCGGAGGCUAGAGAGACGCCGGGGCACUCUGGAGGGGAGGAAGCGGUGUGCCACGAAUUCUCUCUCUUAAACGCUCGCGUUAUCACGGAGGAGACUUUAUAAACGCUUUAAACACAACACCAACCAUUUUAUCAGCAAAAGCGAGGGGAGGGGGGCGUACAGUAAAUGCUGAGAGAUGUUCGACAAGCCCCAAGACGUUCCCUGCGGAAGGAGAACGGAAGAAAGAAAACUCCGGGCGGAAAAAGAAUUCUUUGCUGAAGAAUGCAGCUGUAUUAAAGGAAGAAAGAAAACCAAGCUACAGCUCCUUAUAAUUCAACAAGCAUGUAAAAGGUUUAUAAAGAUGGUGCAAUUAUGUAUUUAAGCUGCUUCAACACAAGUUCUUGCCUUUCACUCCCACCCUGUGGCUUACACUGGUAUUACAUCUAUUCUGACAUUUAAAAAUCAACAUUAAAGAACAUGUUAUAAUAAUGUA